CAGUCGCCACGGGAAUACGGAGGGAGCAAGCGUUAAUCGGAAUUACUGGGCGUAAAGCGUGCGUAGGCGGUGAGUUAAGUCUGCUGUGAAAUCCCCGGGCUCAACCUGGGAAUGGCAGUGGAUACUGGCUCGCUAGAGUGUGUCAGAGGAUGGUGGAAUUCCCGGUGUAGCGGUGAAAUGCGUAGAGAUCGGGAGGAACAUCAGUGGCGAAGGCGGCCAUCUGGGACAACACUGACGCUGAGGCACGAAAGCGUGGGGAGCAAACAGGAUUAGAUACCCCCGUAGUCCCUGUCUCUUAUAC
rnacentral:rRNA from 1 species